rnacentral:rRNA from 1 species
CCUACGGGAGGCAGCAGUGGGGGAUAUUGCACAAUGGGGGAAACCCUGAUGCAGCGACGCCGCGUGGGUGAAGGAGGGUUUCGGGGCGUAAAGCCCUAUCGGCAGGGAAGAAGAUGACGGUACCUAACCAAGAAGCCCCGGCUAACUCCGGGCCAGCAGCCGCGGUAAUACGUAGGGGGCAAGGGUUAUCCGGAGUUACUGGGUGUAAAGGGCGCGUAGGUGGUUAAUUAAGUCAGGUGUGAAAGUUUGGGGCCCAACCAAGGAACUGCCGUUGAAACUGGUUGACUUGAGUUUAGGAGAGGUAAGCGGAAUUCGUGGUGUAGCGGUGAAAUGCGUAGAUAUCACGAGGAACACCAGUGGCGAAGGCGACUUACUAGACUAUAACUGACGCUGAGGCGCGAAAGCGUGGGGAGCAAACAGGAUUAGAUACCCCAGUAGUC